AUUGAACGCUGGCGGCAUGCCUUACACAUGCAAGUCGAACGGUAACGCGGGGCAACCUGGCGACGAGUGGCGAACGGGUGAGUAAAGUAUCGGAACGUGCCCAAUAGUGGGGGAUAGCCCGGCGAAAGCCGGAUUAAUACCGCAUGAGACCUGAGGGUGAAAGCGAGGGACUCGCAAGAGCCUCGCGCUGUUGGAGCGGCCGAUAUCAGAUUAGGUAAUUGGUGGGGUAAAGGCCUACCAAGCCGACGAUCUGUAGCUGGUCUGAGAGGACGACCAGCCACACUGGGACUGAGACACGGCCCAGACUCCCACGGGAGGCAGCAGUGGGGAAUUUUGGACAAUGGGCGCAAGCCUGAUCCAGCCAUGCCGCGUGCGGGAAGAAGGCCUUCGGGUUGUAAACCGCUUUUGUCAGGGAAGAAAUCUUCUGGGCUAAUACCCUGGGAGGAUGACGGUACCUGAAGAAUAAGCACCGGCUAACUACGUGCCAGCAGCCGCGGUAACACGUAGGGUGCGGGCGUUAAUCGGAAUUACUGGGCGUAAAGCGUGCGCAGGCGGUCUUGCAAGACAGGUGUGAAAUCCCCGGGCUUAACCUGGGAACUGCACUUGUGACUGCAAGGCUGGAGUACGGCAGAGGGGGAUGGAAUUCCGCGUGUAGCAGUGAAAUGCGUAGAUAUGCGGAGGAACACCGAUGGCGAAGGCAAUCCCCUGGGCCUGUACUGACGCUCAUGCACGAGAGCGUGGGGAGCAAACAGGAUUAGAUACCCUGGUAGUCCACGCCCUAAACGAUGUCAACUGGUUGUUGGACGGCUUGCUAUUCAGUAACGAAGCUAACGCGUGAAGUUGA
rnacentral:rRNA from 1 species